AUUAUGAAAACUGGUGCUGUGACAAAGUGAAGAAGAAGAGCUGGUGAACCCAGUGUUUCCAUGGGCAUCCUUGUGGUUCCACUUACCUGUCCAAUCCGUGACUCCCCUUUGAUCCACCAGCACUCCUACCUUUCAGAGGCUGCACUCCUUGGCUGGUGGUCCCCUUCCAUCUUCGAAGCCAGCAGUGGCCGGCCAAGUCUUUCUUAUAUUGCAUCACUCCGACACUCCUCCACUUCCCUCUGCAGUUUAUCAGGAUCCUGUGGAGAUCUCCCCAUCUCAAGCCCCUUUCUGCCUCACAGUCUCUGAGUCGGUCUUUUGCUGGUUGGACUGAGCCUGCAAGACUUCCCAGAAUGGAACUGUGUCCUGGGCUCCAGCACAGACCCAGGCACUUAGAAGGCUCCCAGGAAAUGCUUGUCGAGUGGAAUAGAAGCAAGAAGGAAUUGAAGAGCCCAACCCCCAAAUGGUAACUUGCCCACAUCAUCCAGUAAGUAGCUACUUAGGGCCUGGAACUAAGCCUGGGUGGACUUCACUUAGCACAGUGCCCCCAGCAAGGGGGUGGGAAGGAGAGGUGCUCAGGUCCUGCAGCACAGGCCCCCACGUGAGGAGGUACAGCCCAGGAGGGGAGAGGCUGGCAGAGGAGGUGGGAGAGUUCAUUAGCUGAGACUCUGGGAGAAGGCGGUCAGCCUCCGGUGCCCCAGGGUUCAGGUGACCCAGGCUGAAAGAGCAGUGGAGCUGUCCACAUUGUAGACAUGCCACAGACGGUGGACAGGGACUUGAGUCGGUGUGUGAGCCCAUUCUCCUACCUCCCCUUUCCGACCUCAGAGAGCCAGAGUUAGCCCAUCUGAAUGCUACAUCAAGAUUGAGAAGGGCCAAGACAGAGCAGGGAGCAGAGAGGUAGCGCCAAAGAACUGACACCUCAGGAGCUGGGUGGACAAGGCUGGGUCAAGUCAGAGGCCACUCCUGGGGGAACAUGCUGCCCAGAGGUGGGCUGAACGAAGGACAGACACAUUACUCUGCUCCAGAUUGACGGAGAUUCAGGCCCUGGAUACCAGCCCACUACCUCCUCUCCACACCUGCCAUUAAA